GGAAGGAGGAGGGCACUGAGUGCUAAGAGCAGAGGCGGCCUGGUGGCCCACAGAGCCUGUUUUGCUUACAAUGGGAAUAGAGUAGAAAUUUGUUGCGAACACUCAAGAUCUGAUAACUGAUUCCCAUUUAGAUGUCAUUGAGACCUCUGGGAAGUACAGAAUAAUCAGAGCACAGCAGGCACCAGCCAUGAAUCCUCAGUUCUUCACAGCCAGCCUCAGACACGCUCUGGUGGACAGGGAGAGGACACUGAGUGCGAUGGUAUGUCACCAAGUCGUCCUUCUCUGAAAGGGGCCAUGCUUUCAGUACUUCUUUCUCCUUUAUGCCCUUAGAGUAGAAUAAACCAGAAAAGUAGCUACAGGUGCAUCCCUGUGAGAUGGUGGAAGGAAGCAAGAAGUCCAGAAGUUGAAAUGACACAAUAGAACUAAAACAGGAGGGAUACAGCUGGAUAUGCUAGCUGUGCACUGUGGUAGACAUAGAGAAUGAAAUCAGGACGAGUUAUGUAGAGGCUGUAGGAAAGAAGUCAAUCAGGACAUAAAACGGAAGCGCAGAGCAUAAAAAGAAAGAGCAGAAGGGGGUCAGUAAGACAGAAUGCAUGUGACAAAGAAAUAGAAAGAAUUAGAUACAGAAGGAAGGGCACACAUAUCACAGGGAGUGAAGUAAGAGAAAUGAGAAACUAUCUCUGGGGUAGAGGAAAGGAGACUUAUAUGGUCACAAGACAAUGAAGAAAAGAAAAAUGACUGAGCAAAAAUGAAUUAGUAGAAUAGAAGUUUUACUUCUGCAGAAGAAGAAAGGCAAGAAAAGGCAGAGGGAAAAAAAGCAGAGCAAUUAAUAAAAGG